rnacentral:tRNA from 1 species
GGUCCCAUCGUCUAGUGGCCUAGGACACCAGGUUUUCAUCCUGGCAACAGGGGUUCGAUUCCCCUUGGGAUCACCA